GCAGCCAUCCCUGACUGGGGAAUGUUAGUGGCAUCUCUGUAUGCAGUGGCUGUUCCUUCCGAAAGAGGAAAUUUAGGCUACUGUGUGUUUUAACACACACACCCUUACACUCACGUGUAGAUCACUGGCAGAGAGCAUGCACAUGAGUACCUGCCAAUCAUACACAGAAGUAUGAAUCCUCCCUGCUUGUGCAAUAACACAGAGCUCCAUCAAAGCUUGAAACUGUCGAAUCGAUCCCCUCCACCCUCUCCCUACCAUCCUGCAUUCUCCAUCCAUCAUCCCACAGCAAGAUUUUCGCAUUCUGAGACAGGCAGUCAAGGAUCAGAAUCUGCAGGGGUGAGAUGGGGACUGUGAAUUCAUAACAAGUCCCUCAAAUAUCUUGACAAUCAUGAAGUUUAGAAUCAGAGGCUUCAGGGAGCACCUGGAACAUCUCUGAAAGAUGUGGGACUGAGUUAACCAACCUUCUCUCUUAUGAGAGAGAAAGGGGGCUUGGUCGUGCUUGGAUGUGUCCUGUGGGCCUCUGAAAGCAAGCUAAGGACAGCACCAUGCAGUCCCAUUUGCCAAAGGAGAAGAUGAGAGCGAGGAGGGAGGAGGGUGAUUCAAGGGAAACUUGGACACGUGAAUUUAAGUUUUACUUAAAUUGGGAUGGCAGACCCUGGAAGAUAGCUGGAAAAUACUGUUGAUCACAAAUGGCUAUGCUUACAGGAUCCCUGCACCUUGCACCAAUCCUCUCUACUAAGCGCUAAUCUCCUGAGUAUGAUUCAUCACCAGAGCAACUGCCUGAGAACGCUGUGCCCUUCUCUCAACGGAGCCAUAAUAAAGUGUUUGAGUUCAUGAUCAGCACUAUACAUUGAAAGGAACGUACCUGGCAUCACCAAAAACGGCAAAUGGCAGCAGUCUCAGAAUUCAAUGCAGACAGCACUGUUUGAGCCCUGGUUCUGACCCAACCACAAACUGGCUAAGAGAACCUAAGAGAAGCGUCAGUUGCUCUGGACCUCUGUUCUGUCACUUGUAAAAGGAGUUAGGCAUGGGUAAGAUGUGAAAAGUCCAAGCCCACUUACUUCUACAAGGAGUUGCUUUAGUAUGCCUGUGUGGUUUGCUUUGCACUGAGGGUGAAUCAUAUGUCCAGUGGGCUAUCCCAUCUCUGUUGGAGAUACAUGCUCUCCCUACCUGAAAAUGUGUCCAUUUUGUUUCCCAUGUACCUAUUCUGGAGACCUUUGGUUUUGUUUGUUUGUUUGUUUUUGUUUUUGUUUUUUCCUUCAUGAAACUGAAUAUUUACAUUUCACAAAAACUCCAAUUUAAUCUGUUUUCAGCAAUUUCUCAGCCAUGAAUAAACCUGCUACACUCUGAACAUCACCUUGGCGAAUGGGUAAAUAAGAUACUGCUGCUUGAAAGAUGAUCCCUUGGAUUAAUUGUAUUUCUUGGCGCAUUUAAAAUAUUUGGUUCUCAAAAUGGGUUUCAUUUGAGACAUUUGAUUUUGAUGCAAAUAUGGGCAAACACAUGAAAUUCAGCCAAACUCUGACUUCCCAGGUUCCUCAGAAAUUCCCGUUCUCAGCUGACAGAUAGGCUGUACACACAUCGAGACCCAAAUAGACAUCAGGUACCUCAUAAGCUUCGCUUCCCUUCACGCCCAGAUUCAUUGCUCAGUAAUGGUCUUUGACCUCCCAUUGUCGUCAGAGUAGAGUUCAACUUCUCAGCUCUUCUUCUCUCCAUCGUUAGCUCUCAACCUCCAGAUAGCACUUCCCAUGAUGCUUUGUGUUGCAUUGAACUAACCCAGGCCCGAUCCUUUCUUUGUAUACUCUGUGCUUUCCCUGCCCCCAUCGUUCAUAUCGUCCCUUGCCCGGGUGCCUCUAGCUCUUCACUUUGCAGACAGUUAGAUGGCAUGAUGUGCAUCACCAUGUCAGUCCAGUUUCUGGGAUAGCUUGCAGUAAAUCACGGACCUUGGUUUCCUCACUCGUUCAUGUUUUGUUCAUUCACUCCUGGAUGACUUGGUUGACCAAGUGUGGUUGUAGUUACACAGAGGAAACUUCGAGCAGAAUAGCUGUAGAAUUUGUAGGUACAGUACAAAAUGUAAGUUUAGGCUUUUUGAAAAAAAAAUAAUUUCAUGACAGUUUUGGUACACAUUAUAAGCACAGGACUCUGAUAAGUACAGAGAUAAGUACAAAGAUUGUAUACCUUGGCUCAGGGAAGCCCAUGGUUGUGACAUGGAUAAGUAAAAACCACCUCUAUGUGAUACUAAGUGCUGUGACAUGCAUAAGCAGAGGAUGCUGGGGAAGUGGGCGUGGUUAAGAAUGGCUCAACCUUUGCUAGAAAAUGGAGGGUGGAAGGUGGCGAGAAAAUCUUAAGAAGGAAGUAGCACCUAAAUUCACUUGCACACUUCAAAAUGAAGUGUGAAAAUGUGGGGGGAAGAAAAGAGUAAGAAUAAAUCAAAACAUGAAACAACGCAAAAAAAAAAAAAAAAAAAAAAGAGGGGAAAAAAGGAGCUGAACACAAUGUCCAAAUUACGAAUAUCCUUGAAGACUCUCAAACACUUUUGACAAUGAAUCACAGAAAUAAGUGUAUGCUUUGACCUAAUACACGCAUUGAAACAGAGCUUCACCAAAACACAUAUGGUUUAUUUGCUCUUUCAUAGUGUUACCUAAGUUUAUAACCCAUAAUAUGAAUGGCCCUGUUUUCAGGACUACCUGAAGUGCUACCUUCUUGCCAGGUCUCCCUAAUCCUUUCAGACUUAAGCCACCUGGAUUCCUGGGUGCGUUUCUGCUGGCAUCUAGAUUCUGGUGUCUGUGUCAUGCCUUAUAUCACUUAAUGAUGCUAUAACUUGAAGGCAACCUCAGGUGCUUGGUGCCUACCAGGCUCUGCUAAAUGCUGUAAGCAGUCUGUUGUCUUCCUCAGUCUUUACAUCCACCACUGGCCUGCUCUGGCCUGUCAUUUCUCACCAGUUUAACUACCUCAUUCUUGCUAAUGAGUUCAAGGAGAAUCCUUGGUCUCAAAUGACUAGAUCUUUUCCCACAGGAUAGGAUGGUACAUGGCACACAGGCACACACCCAUGAGGGAAAGGAGGCAGGAUGGAGGCCAGCUUGAGCUAUAAGGAAAAAUUUUAUCUAAAAAAAAAAAAAAAAAAGAAAGAAAGAAAGAAACAAUCAAGCUCUAGGUAUACCUCAGUACUGAAGUGCACUCUCACUUCAACCUGGGAGAGGGAAAAUCAGUUUUCUCCAAUGGAAUGAUACUGGGUAUGUCAACCACUCCAGGACAGGCCUCGUAAGUGAACUCCACAAUUUGUGUGUGUGUGUAUAGGUGGACGUUUCUGUCCCACCAACAACUCCCAAAUACCCGGCAGCCGUUUCCCAAUUAACUGACCAGAGGCUUAAUAUUACUUAUAAAUGCUCAGCAGGUAGCUCAGGCUUAUUACUAACUAGAUCUUACACUUAAAUUAACCCAUAAUUCUUAUCUAUGUUUAGCCACAUGGCUUAGUAGCUUUUCUCAGUGUGACAUUCUUAUCUUGCUUCCUCUGUGUCUGGCCGGUGACUCCUGACUCCCCCCUCUCCUUCCCAGCAUCCUUAGUUUGGCUUUCCCACCUAACUUCCUGCCUAGCUACUGGCCUGUCAGCUCUUUAUUAACCAAUGACAGUAAUACAUAUUCAUAGUGUAGAAAAGGAUUGUUCCACGGCAUGUGUAUGCUUUUAAUUUGGUUAGAGUUUGGUGGGGUUUUUCUGUUUUGUUUUUUAAGAUGUAGUUUUAUUUUGUUUUCUUGUUUGGGGGUUGUUUUAUUGAGUGUUUGUUUGUUUGUUGUUUUGAGAAAGAACUCAAAGUUUGUUGAGGGAGGCGAGGAUUUGGAAGGACUUGGAGAAGGGGAAGAAUAUGAUCAAAACAUAUUUAAAUUUAAAAUUUAAAAACUAAGCUUGGGGUGUACCUAGUGCUAAAGUACUUGCCUAGGAUGUGCAAGGCCCUUGUCCUUGUCCUCAGUGCCACAAGCAGCAACAAAAUAGACCCCUUUCCUUGAUACAUUCUGGAAUUAAUAUCAAACCAUUCUGAUUCUUUGUGAUCUUCUCUGUGCUUUCUGGUAGUCUAACAUCAAAUUCUAGUCAUAUAUUCCCAAAAUCUCACACUGUCAAAUCAGUCUGUAGAACAGGCCUUAAAUAAAGAUAAAUUGCUCUGACCAUGAGUUUGCAGGUCUUUUCAUACUUCAGUGGUGGAGAAGGAUUUAGGCUAUUUUUUGUAACCACUGUAUUGCUGGAACUUUCACAUGUAUUUUAUUAUAAAGACUUUAAGUAUACCUGUGAACCAAGAAUCCCUGUUAUUACCAGUUCCCAUCUGAUAAAUGAUCACAGACUUCAGUGUGUCUGACUCAAAGGUCACACUCUUUCCAUUAUGCUAAUUAAAUGACAGCAGUGACAGUCUGUGGUGAAUAAAGGACCAGCUGGACGCCACAGCCAGCAGGGCCACCCUGGGCACAAGUGUUCACUUAACCAAAGAAACCCCGCGGCAAAGCACAGCUCCCUGCUUCCUAGUUAAAUGAUGUUACAUGGUGACUUCUGGUCUCCCUUGCUAGCUUGCCACUGAUUGUUUGCCCUGGUGCUUUCUCAGGGUCAUUGGCCUAUUUCAGAGUUUACACUGGAUAUAGAAUAUCAAGUUCUGAAGGUUAGCCAUCCCAUUUCUGUCCUUUAUCUGUUAUUUUAUGAACCCAGUCUUUUUUAUUUCCUUUUUAGUGACAGGAGCAAAAAAAAAUUCCUUUGCUUUCCCUGGGAGGCAUGUAUGCUAAUGCAAGCUAGAACAAAGCCCACCUGUGUUCAGAGACUUUGACAUUGUCCCACUGGCUUAUACCCCUGUUUAGGGGAAAGAGGCCCAGUUUCCAUCCCAGAGACCAAGUUUGUCUACUCCUGCAUGAUCAGGGGCAGAAAUUGCUCUUCUGUGGUUCCAGCCCAUGAGUAUACUUGAGAUAGAAAUAUCCUACAGGGCCGGAGAGAAGGCUCAGCAAUUAAGAGCACUAGCUGUUCUUGCAGAGGCCCUGGGUUCAAUUCCCAGCACUCACAAGACAGCUCACAACUGUCUGUAACUCCAGUUGCAGGGGAGCCAACGCCCUUACGUAGACAUGCGUACAGACAAAACACUAGUGCAUAUAAAAUAAAAAUUAAUUUUAAAAAAGAAGUAUCCUAUGGAGUAAACCCGGGCUAAUAAAAAUACUGCAAUAUGGAGAGAAGAAGAAGCUAUCUCUAAUUUAUAGCAAGGAAAUUGGUGCCAGAAGGUGGCAUAGUGAGUGGAAAGAACUGGGCGGCAGGAGGACUGGUUUCAACAACCACAGAAUGAGAUAUUUAUGAAAGCAUUUUUGGAAGUUAGAAUCAUGACUCCUGAUACUGAACAGUGACUUGAGGAAUCAGGGAUUUUAAUGCCUAAAUUGGGGAGCUAAGGCUCAGAGGUCCAGACAAACAGUUACAACUACCCAUGACCAAGCCAGAAUUGUGGCUCAUACCUUCAGGUAAGAGAAUGAGGCAAGGAAAUAAUGGAUAUGGCCUCUAGAUAUACCUACUGCUUGUAGUUAAUACAUCCCAGGUCAUGCCUUUACCUAUUAAGUUGAGGACACUGGUUAAAAUAAGAAUUGCAUUGAAUUCAGUUCUGGAUAUGUGUUUGGACUUUGAGUCUAAGGGAACCUGAUGUUGAUAAGAUCCUUUCUAAGCUCUAGGAUGAGAAGUGGUGUCUACCUCUUUGUUGAUCAAGACUUACGCAGACCCAUGUCUUUUCCAGGCAUUGUUUAACUCUGACAGGACUCAAGAUCCUACCAGACAAUGCUUUGCUAACACCAAACUUCACAUCUCUCCCAAGCAGGCAUUGCUCAGCCAUUGCCUCAGCAGACAGCAACUCCAAUGUAGGAAAAAAAAAUUCCAUAGGACUGUCUCCAUUUGCAUGCUACAAUCUUCAGGGAGCCCAGACCAGCUUCUUCCACAGUUGUUGCUACCCUUACAGGAGCAGCUCAGACUGGUCUUCAACCUGAGACACGCUCGUCUCACCUUCUCCAAUGCUGGGAUCCAGGUAUGUGCCACCACGCCCAGCCCAGUAACUUUUUGUUUUGUUUUGUUUUGUUUUUAAUCAGAGGCCUCACAAAUGAUGCAAAAGAUCUUGCAUGGAGUUGAAGCUGCCACUUAUCUUGAAAAUGCCACCCCUAACAGCUGUCUUCCCUCUGCUGUUCCAUGCCCUCGCUUCCUAAAAACACCUGCAUGUGGGUGGGUGGAGUGGGGAUAAUUACACAAAGUUCACAUAUUCCCUUUCCUUCGUGACUUAGAAGCCUUUAGCCAAAUGGGUUUCCAUAAUGUAAGAUAUGCAGAAAGGGCACUGAGUGCUCAUCUUGGACCAAAUAUGAAUUAUUAAUGGUGUGUUUGCUAAAUAAUUCAUCAAAUUCAGUGUAGCUUAAGGAUUUUAAUUCAGACAAAAUACAGAUGUAUCCACCCUUUUCCUGUCUUUCACAUUACUUUCUUAUUUGUUUAAACUUCUUUAGUAAGGUUUUAAUGAAACAACCGCCAGUUUACCCACUCAACAAUUAGCCAUGCCAAGGAUUUUUCUGGGUUUCUAGAGACAGAGCAGUGAACAAAAGAGACAAAGCCAUUAAUAAAUGUUUAUUGUACAAGGGAUUUUGCUAGACAUACAAAGAUGUAGAGUUGUCCUGUUUCUGUCCUCAAUGAGUAAAGCAGAUGAAAGCAAUGUAAGAUCCAGAGACUCAUAAACAGCAAAGGGGGCAUGCAAAUCAGAGAGGAGAGGAAAUGUUUCAAAGGAAGGAGAAAAGAAUUGACUGACUUGUGUUAUAUUGGGUAGGCAAAUUACCAAUGCUUGUGUACAGGCUUGAUUUGGAAAAUCUGCACAGAGUAUGCAGACAGAUGCUGAUUAAAUUGGGCAACUGAUGAAGGCUUUGGGUAUUGAAUUUUCAAUAAGCAAGUGAGUCAUGGAAACACUCCUUUAUGGUAAUUUACAUUGGAAAUGUUGCUUUCCAAAGACAAUCUAUGGACUCAAUUAAGCAGGGGGGUAAUUCAGUAGAUGGCCACCUUAAAUCUACAAAAGCUGAAAACACUGGACUAUAAAUAAAUUACCAGCCCUGCUUUCAGAAAACAACCAGUUCAUCCAUGUAAGAGGUUGGGGAUUUGACACCAGCAAGCUCAUGGAACUCAGGCUUAACUGGCAAUCUAUUUAUGAGACGGUGCAAGAUUAGAUAAGGAGGGGAAUAAGACGCAGGCCUGCUGUGUUGCGAAAAUCUUGAGCAUAUCAUUCAUAGGAAUUUCCUAUGUGAGUGACGGCUAUAGUGUAAUGUAAGUGGUACCUCUGGAUAAGUGCAUCAUAGCGCAGGGACCAGCAGUGAGGAAUUCUGAGACCAGCACACUUAACUGAAGAAUGGGUCACUGGGAAUAGCUUAAUGCAAAUGUAAUCUGGAGUCCAGAUAUGUUGAGUAGAGGUGGGCUUUUAAUGAGAUAGUAUAAGGGCUAUGUAAUGUGGGCCCCCUACAAAUAACUGAGGGUUCUUUCCAGACUCGUUUUGAAAGACUGGCUGUGUGCCGUACACGCAAAUCAUGGAUACCUACCAAAUCCAAAAUAUCUCCCAAACUAUGCAUUUUGAAAACUCAAAUCUGGGUAACAGGUGUCAGUCAAGAGCUACCUGCUCCAAAUGACACUGUGAUAGCUUAGAGCAACUUUAGGUGUGGCCUUUUAGGAAAUAAAGUAAUUGAACGAGUUCAAUUGUAAUCACUUCAGAGACGCCCUAGAAAGAGGUCCGAGGCAGAGUGCUAGAGAGUCCCAUCCGUGCCUCCAAUCAGCUUCUACUUUUCUUAAAACAAGAUACAAACUUGGCAAACUGCUUUCCUUAGUUGAAAAACUGGGAAGGAAGCUAGUGGUCCUUAUUACAGGAUUUGAAGGAAAAUUAAUUGGACAGUACAUCAACAGUGCUAAUCAGAUUUUGUUACAAUGUUGCUGUUCUAGAAAUGUUAGGUGUUUUAUGAUCCUUGGUCUUCUCAAAGGCAUUUGAGUCUAAAUACAUGAACAUGUGACAUUUAAUCUUAGUCAUCUACUUCUUUAGACUCAGAAGCACCAAGAGAACUAGCAGGGCACACACUUCAGGGGAUGUCUGCAAUGGGCUUCCAGAGACCAUUGCAUCAUAAGGACUCUGAUCUAACGAAUGGACUAAUCAUUUAUGGAUUUAUUGUAGAUGGUAUUAUUGAGAGGUGGUGAAAGGUAGGAGGCUGGAUGUAGCUGAAGGAAACAAGUCACUAGGGGCCUGUCUGUGGGGGCUGAAUCUCACCCUGGCUCUUUGUUAGUAUUCCUUUUCCUCUGCCUGCGGGCCACCAUCCUGUGAGCUGUCCUUCUCUACCUGGCCCUGUCUGUCAUGAUGGGCUGACACGCCUGAAGCCGAGAGACAGGUAAAUCUUCCCUGGUCUCACAGCUGCACAAAAACAACCAGUGCAACAAUGUGAGUGUGGGUGCGCAUCCAGAUGUUCAUGGACAUGGAGGUCAUGUGCACGCCCAAACCCAGGACAUCCCCAAGAUGCUCAGAAGCAAGCGAGUAAUGAGAGAGCCAACUAAGAAGAGAAGUCACCUAGUCAUCACCCUGGACUUGGUGUUCCUUACCUCAGUGCCCCAGUCUAUAUUUAAGUGAACGUUUCUUUCAAUAAGGUAUUUCAUACUGUUUUUUAAAAAACACAGUUUUUCUAUAUUAAAUUGCUGGAAUGUAUGUCAAGUCAAUACACAUCACGUGAUUGCUGUGGAUAUCAGUCGAUAUAAUUAAAGCACUGAUUGGCCAGUGAUCAUGGUAACUGAUACUCUAUUCAGCCCUAAGGCUCAGUACCACCAAACCAAGGAAUAUGGAGGGUCACUCCCCAUACCAAACGCAGUCUCAAAUACCGCCUACUGCAAUUUUGGAGUCUGUCUGUAGGUUUGCUGAUGUUUGGCUUCUCUGUUUAGUAUUCAGAAAACAUUAAGAUGCAUGUUUCUGAUAGCUGUGCACUCAGCUGAGUAGUUAUUCCUGAACAAGGAUUUUAACCAUGCCUACUACAGUGUAAUCGGGCUUUGCUAUUUAGUGCCACUGAGCCUCAUCUUUAUUAUUAAAAGUUUUCAAUUAUAGUAUUUAAAACAGCUAUCUUAACUCUGAAAUGUUACAUUGCUAUUGUUCUUUAGCUAAAAUAUAGUAUAAUGGUUCUAAAAAAAAAAAUUGCUUAAGGCAAUGCUUCUCAACCUAUGGGCUGUGACCCCCUUGGCAAAAUUGUAUCUCCCAAAAUAUUCACAAUUCAUUACAGUAGAAAAAUUACAGUUAUGAAGUAGCAAUGAAAAUAAUUUUAUAGUUGGGGGUCACCACAACAUGAGGAACUGUAUUAAAGGUUCACAGCAUUAGGAAGGUUGAGAACCACUGGCUUAAAGGCAUAUGAAGAAAGGAGAACACACACACACACACACACACACACACACACACACACACACACACACACACACAUACAUACACACACACGCAAGGAAAUUAUCAGGCAAGGCAAUUCUUAAAAAAGAACAAGAAAUAUUCAGAUUUAUUUCUAGGGGGUGAGGUUUGAGCUUCUGGCAUGGUAGUGUCGGCAUUGGAAUUUCAGAGUUAGUGACCAUAAACAUGGAAGAAAAAUGAAACAAAACAGGAGAAUCGCACUGAGCGGGAGCUGGCAGGAAAUGGCUAACGUUCCACCCAGGGAAUCUCCAGUUAGAAUGGUGCACAGGCUCAGAAGCAACAUUGCACUGCAAGUGAGAGACUUUUCACAGAAAUGUAAUGUGCAAAAAGCUCCCUCGGAGACCCAGACAGUCAACCAUGCGGAAGGCAUUGCUCACAGGCGUGAAGGAUGUCUGCGUGUUCUGGACCCGAAAGAGUAAGGAUUUUAGGUCAAGGAAGGAGACACUAAAAGCAAUGCUAAGGACCAAAUAGAGUCCUACUUUAACCUCUAAUAUUAAUAUUAGCAAUUUGUGAAUAUCUCAGGAAAAAUGCUGUGUCUCUUUGCGCCACAAACCACAGCAGAGUUUUCUUGUGUUGUUUUAGAUUUUAAUUGCUUUGUGUAUUCAUAGACAGUAAUACUGUCAACCUAGAAAAACUGCCUAAUAGCAGCUGUAUCAGAAUUACAAGGGUUUCUUUUCUCUUUCUCCCUCAUUCACUACUGAAGCACAUUGGCUUACUUGCUGCAACCCCAGACCCUUUAUCAGUAUGUUUUGAAGCGAAAAGAGACUUCAUCCCCUCAACUUUCUGUAUGAACCAAAAGUAACAGCCACCACCACCCCCAUCUUUCCUCAGUCCUUCAACUACCUCAGUUAAUGCAAACUCAAAAUAACUAUUGGCUUUGACAGUCAUUUUGUCACUGUCCUUGGCUUCAGCUGCACUAGAAACUCUCGUGUCUGACCCACCGAGAUUGUGUUCUCUUCAUAGACACCAAGAAUCCUGCUAUGGGGAGUCAACUCUGAGAUUGUGUUUACCGAGCUGACAGAGCAUGUCCGGGGCUCAGCCAUCCAUUUUUAAGGCUAAGCACCCUUUUUUUUAGCAAAGAGCCAUGAAGGAGAUUUGACCCAAAGGGACCAGAAUGAAACUGCCUCUUAUACAAGAUGCAUUGGAGUCUUUUUUUAAACAUCUUCUUUCCUUCCUCUGAGUGAAUCACAGUUAUUUCAAAGAGAAUUUGUCAAGUGGCUCCAUAACUAUUUCUGUUUGGCGCCUGUGCUCGGCUACUCUCAUUAUCUGUCUAGGCCGUGUUUCUUGGGUGAACGCAUCUUUUUUAAAAAAAUGCUGUGGUCUGUAGAGAUAACGAGAGUCCUUACAGCCACUUCGAUGGCGGGUCUCCCACCUCCGUUUCCAGCUAUGUGCCUUCGAGAAUGCUGCUUCAUUUAUUUCAUGGCCUCAAUUUCAUCUCUGAAAAGAAAGAGAAGAAACUGCACUGGGUCUUUGAGAGAGCACUAAGCUGAAAAGUGGAGCGCUAAAAUGCUAUGUACUUUUCUGUAAUUUAAUUUAAAAUCUACAUAGACAUCCCUAGUCUGCUGAGAGGCAGAUAUGUCACCAGUUUGGUGACCAACAUCCAGCAACGUCCUCCGGGUCUCUCUGGUUUCCGGGGAAAGAUUGUGCAGAGCUUAGCCACGGGCCUGGUGUAGACCAGUGGAGUCAAAGGGAAGAGAAGUGCCCAGCCUGAGCUCUGGGAAGGCUCACACCUGAUGGUUUUGUGACUAAUUAUUGGGCCCAUUAAGUCCCUGCUAACUUCCCUAGCACUGCUGGUUCAGGAUCCGUGUGACUAGUGUCCUCUCUGAAUGUUCCAGGGUCUUCUGCUGGUCCCUGUCACUCAAUUUGUGGAACCCAGACAGGCAGGGCAACCCAUAGCCUUGCACCAACCUCCCCUCCCCUGCUUCAUGCUGACCUCAUUUUUCGCUCCCAUAUCAUGAUGAGCAAUGGAGAUCCUCAGAGCUUUUCAGGUCCAAGACAGUAGACACUCCACACAGUUCAUCCCCUCAUGAAGUCCCAUCUCCCCUGUCUCCAGUAAAAUGUAGAGCCCUGGGUCCUCUCUGCUGAUGGAUCCUCCACCCUGGGAUGAGAGCGCCUACUCAUUCUUAGCUUUCUCUGAGGCUUUUGCCCCUUUGUCUCAUUCCACCACCUUUUUCCUGUUCGAAUAAGUCUUAAAUGAUGUCAGGCAUGAGAAACACAUCUGACUCACUUUGCAUUUUCUCUGCUACGUCUCAAAACUUAAGAUUCUGAAAUUCUAAGACUUUCUCUUCUUCCAGUAUACCAUUUGUUAAUGUUUAUAAGGUAAAGCUACCCAAAUAAGGAAGGAUUGUAAGACCAUUGGAAGUGCUGUGAGAGGAAGAAAGUAUUUCAGAAUUCCGCUUUUCUCUAUCACUUUGAAAUCAUGUAGUGAUAACCUCAGUAGCAGUGGUGAACUGUUGUGGGCUGCUUGCAAAAGCUCCUAAUGGGAGACUAUGGAUAACUCUGGGUCCUCACAAGAAGUAAGUCAGAAAAACGAAAACUAAAACAUGGAAUUCUACAAUUAGAAAACCUUCAAGGGUGACUAAUUCUCUCUUUGUUUCCAAGCCUUUUCCACUAAGAAUUCCCUGAAAUUCUCUGUUUGAGGCAGCACUCUGAUUCGAAUGGUAAUAUGUACUGUCCAUGCAUGACUUCUUCUUCUUUUAGUUAAUAAAUCUGAAAUUCAGGGUGAGGCUGGACCUACUGGUACCACACGUGAAGGAAAUGCUGGCUGAAUUGUGCUGCCCAGGAAGCCUGAGAGAAGGGGGUUUUCAUUCCUGUCACACCUUGUGUGACCCCCAUUCACACACGGACCACCCCGCGCUCUUUCAUAGAAGACCCUGAGCAACAGGGAGGGACCUUCCUGCUCCUCUUGCACCAUGUGGCCUUCUUUCUGGAGCUAAGUCUUCCCAUAACCAUUCCCUUGGCUCGGUCUCCAGUCCCUCUCUCCCCUGCCUUACUUUAGGGGACUGUCAUUAAAGGCAGGGACAUCUCCCAUCCUGACUCAUAUUCCUACUGACCUGGAUCCCAGGUCAGGGUUCAUUCUUAAUCCAGAAAAUUGAUUAAGUUGCUCCUCUUCUAGCACAUGGCAGGCACCCUUCAGCUUCAGAAUGAUUUACUUAAUAACCCCAGUUGCGGUGUACGAUCUCUAACUCUCCGUGUCUUAUCUCAUCGCGUUUCUCAAGAAUUCUCUUACCCUGGCCUUCUGCCUAUCAAAAUAUUCAUCACAACAAUUUUUGUGGCUUUGCUUUUAACAGAGACACCUCCUUCCAUGCACGCUUGCACAGCUGAUGUCACUCAACUGGCUUCCAGCACGAGGAUUCGUGAUGCUGUAGGAAGAGGCAUGACUUUUUAAAGUUUAAUAAGUCUGAGCUCACAGCCUAAAUUCUCUACAGCCGGCUUCCGUGAUCACCACCCGCUAUUUAACCUCUCCAAACUCAUAUUUCUUUAUCUACAGAUGAUUGAUAAUGGUAUCAACUGCACAACAUUGUUUUGAGCCUUUCAAAACCACAUCUGUUCUGGCCUCUCUGCUGCCUGUCAUCUGGAAUGAAGACGAUGUAAUGCUUUCAAAAUUAGCUGUUUAUUGGCAAGAACAGCGCUAUAGAAUGGGAAGCAGCCCAGAGUCCUCUAUUCUAAUCCCAGCUCUGCUUUAAUUAGCUUGGUAGCCGGGGGAAAUGUCUUCCGUUGGAGAAGUGGGUGGUGGGAAGAAUUGAUGUUUCAGAUUCCUUAUUUUUCCUUGCACGUGUAGGGGGUAUGGGUGGCCUCUUGCCUCCCUUACACGGCUCACUCACUUUUGACCGUGGAUGUGCACGCCAAUAUGGCUUCUGUCUCCCUUGCCGAGGAGAAGGGGUCAUGGUUCUGCUCUGUUUCCCCAUGUGUACAUUCUCCUCCGUGGGAUAAGACUGAUGACUGAGUGAACUGACCUGCCUACUCCUAAAAACUCGAUAUCCAGAAGUUUGUCUGUUCACAGACACAUAACAUAUUAUACUAUAUUAGAAUGUGUCAGCAUGAUAUCCGUGCUACUUGGACUCCACCUGACUUGAUCUUCAUCUUAUCUUUUUUUCAAAUAUUCAGAACUUGGAAAAGAAACAGAGAAAGAGUUCAUCUGGACCUUUCUGGACUUCAAGCCAAGAGUUGACUAUGGUCAUUUCUCAUUUGGAACUUGUGAUCUGAGGGAGAUAAUGAAUGUCUGUCUCUCCCAUGGCGGUCCAUGGAGAUUGUUCAGCAAGGCAAUGCUUUCAAUUCCAUAUGGAGAGAUGAGCUCACCUAUUGAACUUUUAUUUGCUUUACAGCAGAGAAAAAAAAUGAAGGCAUGCAUUUUUUCCCCUACAGUUUCACAUACACCUUGGUCAACAGAGGACUCAAAAGCCAGCCCAAAGAAACUUGAUAGAAACCAUGCACACAACACAACUGCCUACUGUGGACACCUCCAGUACUACGAGUCUGUAACACGAUGUGACCCAAACGGAAGGACUGCUUGCUGAUGCAGCUUGGAUUGACUGCUGAGACCUCUCCUGCUUGAGGAUCCACUGAGAGCUGGCAGCCUUCCACAUUGCCUGGUAAAUAGACUCUGCACACAGCUCAGGGGGAUAAAAGGCAGUUUUCAUGAAGCCCAACAACCUGAAUUUGAUCCCCAGGAUCCAGAUGGCGGAAAGAGAGAACCAAUGCCCACAAGUUAUCCUCUGACUUCUACACAUGUGCUCUGUAUGCACACCCCAUCCCCCGUAAAUAAAAAAGUGUUAAUAAAACUUAUUUCAUUUCAUUA